rnacentral:rRNA from 1 species
UACGUAGGGGGCAAGCGUUGUCCGGAUUUAUUGGGCGUAAAGAGCGUGUAGGCGGCUUUACAGGUCCGUUGUGAAAACUCGAGGCUCAACCUCGAGACGCCGGUGGAAACCGUAAAGCUAGAGUCCGGAAGAGGAGAGUGGAAUUCCUGGUGUAGCGGUGAAAUGCGCAGAUAUCAGGAAGAACACCUAUGGCGAAGGCAGCUCUCUGGGACGGUACUGACGCUGAGACGCGAAAGCGUGGGGAGCAAACAGG